UAAUACGUAGGGUGCAAGCGUUGUCCGGAAUUAUUGGGCGUAAAGAGCUCGUAGGCGGUCUGUCGCGUCGGCUGUGAAAACUCGGGGCUCAACUCCGAGCUUGCAGUCGAUACGGGCAGGCUAGAGUUCGGCAGGGGAGACUGGAAUUCCUGGUGUAGCGGUGAAAUGCGCAGAUAUCAGGAGGAACACCGGUGGCGAAGGCGGGUCUCUGGGCCGAUACUGACGCUGAGGAGCGAAAGCGUGGGGAGCGAACAGGAUUAGAUACCCUGGUAGUCCACGCCGUAAACGUUGGGCGCUAGGUGUGGGAUCCCUUCCACGGGUUCCGUGCCGCAGCUAACGCAUUAAGCGCCCCGCCUGGGGAGUACGGCCGCAAGGCUA
rnacentral:rRNA from 1 species